GUGCCAAACUUGAUGAUGUGAUGGUUCUUCGGGUCUGGUGCGCUGCUGCUGGGGCGAAGAGCACAGCCAGAGGGUAGGCAGGCCUGGGUCAGAGACCUUUCGAGAGCCCUCCCACCGCAGCCCCGUCCCAGGACCUGCCUCUGGCCACGUUCUCAUCUCACCUGCAGAGACUCCUGGAAGGAUGAGGCCUGGUACUGUGCGUACUUGGCAAUGGUGGUGUGGGAACGGGAGCUCUCACAAGGCCAGAUCUGCCGAGUGCCUGUCAGAUCCCAGUUCUCAUCUGAGGGCUGCUGCACCUGGGUGCGAACUUCCACGGUGUGUUCGCCACUCGCUUCCACCAGGGUCUUGGUGGAGAAGAGGCCCAAGUCUGGAAGGGAGGGCCGAGCAGGGUGUCGGGGCAGAGGCAGAGGAUAGGGACCGAGGACCCAAUCGACCCUUUCCCUUCCUACUCCUCUGGCUCUGACAGGGUGGUCAUAGGUUUAGCAGAGCUCAGCCCAGAAGAAAUAGGCAGGAGCCCUAGCCCCACAGGAAGCUGGGAGUGCUGGCCUCUAUCUGCAUCCUCACCAGCCCUCUUUCUCCUGCAGCUGCUCAAGGACUCAGCCCCUAGACCAGUGUUCCCAGAUGUGUGCGUGGCCAUGUGCACCGCACCUGACAGACACAUAGUAGGUGCUCAAUGAAUGGCAGCUUCUUUUUUCCCCAUUUGGAGUCUAGUCAAAACAGCAGCUUCUUUGAGUUACCAUUGGAUCCAAUUAAAGAUUAAAGAUUCAGUCAAGUGAAAGCCUGAAAUGUGCUUCAAAUAACUCAGUGUGGGGAAGGGAGAACAUACAGGUAUAAAGGAGACAAGAUUGACCUUUGUAUUUCUAUACAGCUUUCUCUAAUUUUGUAUGUGUUUGAAAUUCUGCGCAAUAAAAGACUGAGAGAGAGCCCCAA
rnacentral:lncRNA from 1 species